UUUUAGGGAUGAGCAAAGAAGGUGGUUUCCUAAGAUGAAAUCUACUCCUGGUGAAAAUGCUGUGAA
rnacentral:pre_miRNA from 1 species